AUAUAUUAAUUACAAUGAAGAAUAUAGCUGUAUAAUUGAUGUUAAUAU
rnacentral:guide_RNA from 1 species